rnacentral:lncRNA from 1 species
UUUUUUUUUUUUUUUUUUUUUUUUUUUUUUUUACCAGAGGAAGACCUGCUGGCUUUCUCUUCCGGCAGGCAGAGAGAUAAGGUUCAGAGAUUGAAGAUAGGGAAAGAGAGUGAGUGACUCAAUGGUAACAGCGAAUGAACUGUCUUCCUGCCCCUUCCUGGUCUAGCUCUUCAUGGAUGGACAAGGUCCUUGAGCUCCAUACAGCCAUAGUAAGAUGCCAGAUGGAAUCCGCAAAAAAUAAGUAGAAACAUGUCGCUAGGUAUGCAUUCCUUGAAACCUUGAUACGGUUACAGAUUAGCAGAGAAAUAUUUUGGGGGGUACUUAGCUCUCUUAUGAAAAUAAAAACAUGAGGGAUAUUAUUUUCCUCCGUCUAACACAUGGCCUGAUGGAAUUUGGACCCAAACAGGCAACAGAGCCUGCCUCUGUAGCCGAAGAGCUAGAAAGUAAAGACCUACACUGGAGGUGCUAAGAGUCCUUCAACAUAAAAAAAAAGGAUGACUGACUUGGAUAACAUGGAGAUGGGGGUUCUUAGCCUACCACACCACAGAACUCCUGAGCUGGUCUUGUAGCUCUCCAGGGGCACUUGGCAUGGAAAAGCAUUAAAGCAUGGCUGUUUUUCACUUGAAUUCUACAGACAGCUCCUGGAUUAAAAGUUUCUGCUUUACCAUUUUCAACCUUUAAUAAAUGGAGAAAUUCAUUAGUCCUUGCUGACGUCAGUUUCUUCGUCUCUACAAUGGGAGUGGUGUCUGCUGCCUAGAGAAUUUAGAAUACAAAAAUAUGAGCUUUGAACUGGGGCUGGCAUAUGGCAAAGUGCAACAUUUGAGGUUCUUUUUCUUGAGUGGAGGGAGGUAAAAUUUACCCUUUAUAAAGUAGGCCAACAGAGAUGUUCUAGGCAAGAAAAACAUCAUUGGGCUGGGGAUUCACAUAUGAAAAGCACUACACAAAUAUAAAUAUUACCAGUCAUAACACUAGCAAAAAGAAACUAUAUGAAUGUUUUCUUGCAUUGCUCAUUGCAGUGAAUUUCAUUUUUUAAGAAAUUUAAAAUUUAUAUCACUUCUCUUGAGGAUAAUUUAAUUUUCUCCAGUAGCUUUUUUCAUCCCUACUCUAUUGCCUCAUGAACAGCACUCAAGUUUAUUAAUUUGUUUGAGUGUAAACAUUAUCCUCUUAGUUCCUGUCCUGUUUCUAGGGCCAUGCCAAAAGGCUAUAUGCUGCAUGUUAAUUCUUUAUCUUUAAAUCACACAAAAUGUAAUUCAGAAUAGUAACUUACAUGCAAGUCCUUAGUCCAGCCUAGAAAAUUUUCAUUUACAUAUUUUAAAUUAGUCUGCUUUCAGUUCAAUGAUUUUGUCUCAUUUUAUAGUUACAAAUAUGUGGUGCAUGUUGUUUAGCUAAAUUUAAAAAUUAGGAAUAAUUACUGUAGAAACAGUACUUUUAUAUAUGCCAUUCUGUGAACCAUGGGAGAGCUAUUAUUCAAAAAGAGAGGAGAAUUCCCCUGAAAAAAUGUAAGUCUUCGAGUUACUGGUUUUUAAAGGAAAAGACCCUAAAAUUAUUAUGAAAUCAGAUAAAUUUGGAGUAUAAUUUCAAGCUGUGUCCUGAUUUAUCUCAUGCUGUUUGAUAUUGCCACAUAAGAGAUGCCAGCAUGGUCAAAUGCAAAUUUAUACUUCUAAAUGCUUUUCUUUGUCAAAGGCAUUUUGUUUAGCUUGAAAUUCCCAAAAGACUUACCAUGAUUUUGAGUAUUUUCUGAAAUGGAAACCUUUGAUAAAAAUAGAAGAUGCAGAGAUUAAGCUGAAUGAUAGCAUUAUUCAGCAAAUUCAAAUCCUAGACCAUCUCCUAGGCUCUGUGAACCAAAACAAAGUUGGACAAAAUGACCACUGUCUGCCAGCUGAUAGAGGGAUCAGAGGCUUUAGUGAGGGAAUGAGGAAGUGUGCAACAGGAGAGGUCGGGUUGGACUGAGCUAGAAGACGGACAGAAUCAGAUCAAUAAGCAGAUCAACCUGUUCUAGUGACAAGGGCUGUUUCCAGGCUUUGCCAAGAGUCUGGAAAUUCACAUUUGCAAGAAGGAAGCAAAUCUGUGAUGGGUUCACCUCGGUGCAAACUGUGGAGAGGCCUGGGGGCUUCUGUAUUCCUCUCUGCUUUGUGGGCUUUCUUGGCUGCACCCAUCUACGCAGGUAAACCUUUCUGAAACAAGUGGGCAGUGGAAAUCACACAAAUAGAACACCGAAGCAACUACUUGACCAGUGAUUUAUCAGAGGGUUAGAGAAAAGCGAGAGACUAAUUUUAAUAAAUCUUUUUUAUGGUUAGUUUUAGGUUUAAAAAGGAUGAUAUGACUGUCUCUUCCAAUGAUUAUAUUGUGAGUAGAAUGAAUAUAUAUAUAUUUAUAUAUUUAUAUAUAUAUAUUUUUUCCUCUUGUAAUCUAAAUGAUAGUGAUCCUCCUUGAUUGGGUUCUUGCAUGGACUGAAGUAUAUAUAAUAUAAAGAAUGAGGUAGGAUUUUUUUUAUUGUCCAUGUACCAUUUAAUUUAGAAUCUUGGCUAGAGGGACGCUUGGGUGGCUCAGCAGAUUUAGCACCUACCUUUGUCCCAAGGCAUGGUCCUGGAGUCCUGGGAUCGAGUCCCACAUCUGGCUCCCUGCAUGGAGCUUGCUUCUCCCUCUGCCUGUGUCUCUGCCUCUCUCUCUCUCUCUGCGUCUUUCAUGAAUGAAUACAUUUAAAAAAUCUUUUAAAAAAAGAAUCUUGGCUAGAUUGCUUACUUAUCUUGGAUUUUUCUGCAAUACACGUAGAAGGUGCUCAGUAUUUUUAUUAUUUUUUCUUUAGAUUAAAAACUGUAGUUUGUUUGCAUUGUAAUCAAGAUGGAACAACCAAUUUUUAAAAAUUGGAGCUAUAAUAUGAAAGUUGAAUUGGGUUACAAUUUUUCUCAUAAAAAACAUUUUUCAUUAUUAGAUGCCUUUAAAAUGCAAUGCUUAAAAAAUAAAAUGCUAUGCUUAUUAGGCUCUACUAAGUGUGAUACAAAGCAAGUUAAAACAAUUUUUUUUUUUUACAAUAGCAAUAACAAAACAAUAGCAGUAAAAUGUUCUGGUUAAAUUUUAUCUGCUCUACUUGAAUAUGGAUGAUAAAUUUUAUGUAGAAACUCUUUCCUAUAGGUAAAAACAGUCCACCGUAAUGUGUUUUUUUUUUUCUAUGUCAUACUGAGAGAAAGCUGUCAAAUACUAGUUUAUCGGUAUAUAGAAAUCAGAAUGGUUUUUCACAUGGGACAUUAAUUUCAUCUAGCUGCGAAGAAGAACCAGUCACUGAGGUUUUGGUCUAAUCAAGCAGUGGGCACCUUGAACAUGAUCACAGAAUCACUUUAGAAGAAGCUACAUAUGGUGAGAUUCAUUUCUCUUUCUAGAUGACUCUUCAUGUAACUCUCCAUGACUGUUCUCCUUCUCUCAACAGAACACAGUCAGGUUCCUUAGGCUGUGGGUUUUGGUAGGUUGUAUUUCUGUUGGUAUGUACCAAAUCUGUGCAAAAAACUAAAGAGAAUGAAUGAACUAAUGAGUUCAUGGAGGUGUUCAUUGACUUUGCUAGUGUAACCAAGGAUGAUUAUACCAAAUGAUGGUGUGGUGAGAAGGGGAGGGAGGGUCUGCAUGAUACAGAGAACAUCUCCAUGUCAGAGGCAGGCAAGAGGAAUAGGAGCAGAGGCUCUUCAAGCCAUUGAGGUAAGACAGCUGAUAUGGGAAAUCUUUUAAUUACAUCAGACAUUAAAAGAUAUUUUAGAACUAAUAAACACUUCUGACUUUUCAUAGUCUUGACAAAUGUCCAUUUUAACUCUUUUAUAAACCUUCCAGUGAGGUGACUGAGGCUAGUCACCCAUUGGCAAUAAAUAUAACACACCAUGAAAAAAAAAAAA